GCCAGACUCCUACGGGAGGCAGCAGUGAGGAAUAUUGGUCAAUGGCCGAGAGUCUGAACCAGCCAAGUAGCGUGAAGGAUGACUGCCCUAUGGGUUGUAAACUUCUUUUAUAAAGGAAUAAAACGAGGCACGUGUGCCUUUUUGCAUGUACUUUAUGAAUAAGGAUCGGCUAACUCCGUGCCAGCAGCCGCGGUAAUACGGAGGAUCCGAGCGUUAUCCGGAUUUAUUGGGUUUAAAGGGAGCGUAGAUGGGUUGUUAAGUCAGUUGUGAAAGUUUGCGGCUCAACCGUAAAAUUGCAGUUGAAACUGGCAGUCUUGAGUACAGUAGAGGUGGGCGGAAUUCGUGGUGUAGCGGUGAAAUGCUUAGAUAUCACGAAGAACUCCGAUUGCGAAGGCAGUUCACUGGACUGCAACUGACACUGAGGCUCGAAAGUGUGGGUAUCAAACAGGAUUAGAUACCCCAGUA
rnacentral:rRNA from 1 species